rnacentral:lncRNA from 1 species
GACGCCGGGCGCCCUCGCGGCCGCCGGGGCCCCAGGCAUUGUUUCCGCAGCGCGCGCGCGGCCACCCGCCGCCAGGGGGCGCCGGGAGCCGCGCUGGAGCCGCCGCCGCCGCCGCCACCGCGCGCCGCGUCCGGCCUUGGCCUGCGGGGUUCCGCGGCCCGCCGAGCCCCGGUCGCACCUGCGCCCCCCGAUCUCGACCUCAUCGCGCGCAGCCUGCGCCUUGCUGUCCCCCACUCACUCCCUUCACCUUCAGCCGUUGGGUUUCCCCCCCGCGCCCGGUCAAGCGUGUGCGUGCGUGACAGGCGCGCCCGCGGGACCGGAUUGAGCGGGAACAGGAAAAUAACCGCCCGCAGGGGCCGGGGCGCCGGCAAGGACCUCCGCCUGAGUGGGAACCGCGCGGGCGCCGGUGCCGGGAAUUGGUUAGACUGGCUAACAACGUAAUGCAGAUCCCAGUUCCCUGAGCUGAGAUGACUCUUCACAACCAGCAAGAGUAGAUGUAGAUCUGCUGACUCUUGAGCCUUCUCAGGGCAUUCUAGAAUGCUGCUUUCUUGCGGUUACUGCAGCUGCUCAAAGACCAUGUCACAUCUCUGUGACCCCGACAGUAAAGACAGGGGGACAUCACCGUCUUUCUUCUCACCCGGAAAGACACCUCCCAGUCCAUCUCCUCCAAUUCGGUAAGAUCCUAUCAGUCCUUCAAGUUCCGUUUCAAAUACUCAUCUCCAAAACAUUGGGUAAAGAUGAUGGCAGCAGUGAGACCAUUAAAGAGAACUGAAAGAGCCAAAUGAAGCAGGGGCUGGAAGGAGUUAAAAAAAAAGCAUUUAAAACAUUUGUUUUAGUUUUAAUUUCUAGAUAUGAGAUCCCCAAGUAUAUUUGAUCAUGGGAGUGAUAGUUGUCUUCCAUGGAGAGACCAAGGUUUGUGGAGAAAAAUGAUAGAAUUGAACUGUUAGAAAAGACAUUUGAAGUCAGCUAAUUUCUUCCCCCACCCAGUAUGAUGUCCCUAACAGGGCUUCAAUUCACUUUCUCCCUGAACCCAAAGAGUGACAGGGAACUGCCUCCUGAGCUCUUUCUCAAGAUCAUUCACUCCCCUACUGUCUCUUGCAUUUGUCAAGCAACGCUGCUAUAGUGAAGGAUGCUAUAUUAGUUUGCUAGGGCUGCCGUAGCAAAACACUCCAGACUUGGUGGUCUAAACAAGAGGAAAUUUAUCUUCUCACAGUUCUGCAAGUUGGAAGUCCAAGAUCAAGGUGGCAUCAGGUUUGGUUUCUCAAGGCUUCUCUCUUUGGCUUAUAGAUGGCUGUCCCUUUGCUGCUUUUUCACAGGGUUGUCCCUGUGCAUGAGCACCCAUGAUUUCUCUUCCUCAUCUUAGAACUAGUCCUAUUGGGUUAGUGCCCCACCCUGACAGCCUCAUUUUAUUCAAUCACCUCUUUAAAGACCAUAUUGAGACUGAAGCUCUUGAAGGACAGGAAUCCUGCUUUCUCCAUCUUGGGGUGCCAUAGUUCCUAUCACUCAAUACUCAAAUGAAUCACAACCCAAUGAACUGAAACGCAUCUUUUUAUUCACUGGGCUCUCCUGUUGAAAGCCAAAGCAGGAUCGGAUCGACAAGUUUGGAAAAAUGUGAGAGAAUAUCCUCCUGAUGGUACUUAGACACGUCAGGAUUUUGCUACUUUGGAACAGGUGAUUUUCCACAUGAUUGAGCACCUGAUCCCAUCAGGUAGGUCUUAAAUGUAUGACUGUCUUUUGAAAUUUCAUACCUACCACUAAUGUGAUGAAUUGUCACUGCAGUUCAAGGGCAUUCAUUUUGGAAAUAGGUGCCAACUGGCCUGUGAUGGUUUCUCAUUUUCAAACAGCUAGGGGCUGAUAAUUGCAGAUAUUUGAUAAAGGCAACAAGUUCACUCUACAUGGUUCAAUGAACUACUCUUUCUAUUCUGUGUAGACAAAUGGUGCUACUGUUUAUUUAUGAUCUAUAGGCAGGUUAUUAUAUUCUAGAUCACUUAUAAUCGAUGAGGCAUACUCUUUCAUUAUUAUUAUUAUUUCUUUGCCCUUCUCACUUAAUGAUAUUUACAAGCUUUUAGGUGUAAUAGGUUCUUAUUUAGCAGCAGAA